UUAAGUUAUUAAGGGCGCACGGUGGAUGCCUUGGCACUAGAAGCCGAUGAAGGACGUUACUAACGACGAUAUGCUUUGGGGAGCUGUAAGUAAGCUUUGAUCCAGAGAUUUCCGAAUGGGGAAACCCAGCAUGAGUUAUGUCAUGUUAUCGAUAUGUGAAUACAUAGCAUAUCAGAAGGCACACCCGGAGAACUGAAACAUCUUAGUACCCGGAGGAAGAGAAAGAAAAUUCGAUUCCCUUAGUAGCGGCGAGCGAAACGGGAAGAGCCCAAACCAACAAGCUUGCUUGUUGGGGUUGUAGGACACUCUAUACGGAGUUACAAAGGACGACAUUAGACGAAUCAUCUGGAAAGAUGAAUCAAAGAAGGUAAUAAUCCUGUAGUCGAAAAUGUUGUCUCUCUUGAGUGGAUCCUGAGUACGACGGAGCACGUGAAAUUCCGUCGGAAUCUGGGAGGACCAUCUCCUAAGGCUAAAUACUCUCUAGUGACCGAUAGUGAACCAGUACCGUGAGGGAAAGGUGAAAAGCACCCCGGAAGGGGAGUGAAAUAGAACCUGAAACCGUGUGCUUACAAGUAGUCAGAGCCCGUUAAUGGGUGAUGGCGUGCCUUUUGUAGAAUGAACCGGCGAGUUACGAUUUGAUGCAAGGUUAAGCAGUAAAUGUGGAGCCGUAGCGAAAGCGAGUCUGAAUAGGGCGUUUAGUAUUUGGUCGUAGACCCGAAACCAGGUGAUCUACCCUUGGUCAGGUUGAAGUUCAGGUAACACUGAAUGGAGGACCGAACCGACUUACGUUGAAAAGUGAGCGGAUGAACUGAGGGUAGCGGAGAAAUUCCAAUCGAACCUGGAGAUAGCUGGUUCUCUCCGAAAUAGCUUUAGGGCUAGCCUCAAGUGAUGAUUAUUGGAGGUAGAGCACUGUUUGGAUGAGGGGCCCCUCUCGGGUUACCGAAUUCAGACAAACUCCGAAUGCCAAUUAAUUUAACUUGGGAGUCAGAACAUGGGUGAUAAGGUCCAUGUUCGAAAGGGAAACAGCCCAGACCACCAGCUAAGGUCCCAAAAUAUAUGUUAAGUGGAAAAGGAUGUGGCGUUGCCCAGACAACUAGGAUGUUGGCUUAGAAGCAGCCAUCAUUUAAAGAGUGCGUAAUAGCUCACUAGUCGAGUGACACUGCGCCGAAAAUGUACCGGGGCUAAACAUAUUACCGAAGCUGUGGAUUGUCCUUUGGACAAUGGUAGGAGAGCGUUCUAAGGGCGUUGAAGCAUGAUCGCAAGGACAUGUGGAGCGCUUAGAAGUGAGAAUGCCGGUGUGAGUAGCGAAAGACGGGUGAGAAUCCCGUCCACCGAUUGACUAAGGUUUCCAGAGGAAGGCUCGUCCGCUCUGGGUUAGUCGGGUCCUAAGCUGAGGCCGACAGGCGUAGGCGAUGGAUAACAGGUUGAUAUUCCUGUACCACCUAUAAUCGUUUUAAUCGAUGGGGGGACGCAGUAGGAUAGGCGAAGCGUGCGAUUGGAUUGCACGUCUAAGCAGUAAGGCUGAGUAUUAGGCAAAUCCGGUACUCGUUAAGGCUGAGCUGUGAUGGGGAGAAGACAUUGUGUCUUCGAGUCGUUGAUUUCACACUGCCGAGAAAAGCCUCUAGAUAGAAAAUAGGUGCCCGUACCGCAAACCGACACAGGUAGUCAAGAUGAGAAUUCUAAGGUGAGCGAGCGAACUCUCGUUAAGGAACUCGGCAAAAUGACCCCGUAACUUCGGGAGAAGGGGUGCUCUUUAGGGUUAACGCCCAGAAGAGCCGCAGUGAAUAGGCCCAAGCGACUGUUUAUCAAAAACACAGGUCUCUGCUAAACCGUAAGGUGAUGUAUAGGGGCUGACGCCUGCCCGGUGCUGGAAGGUUAAGAGGAGUGGUUAGCUUCUGCGAAGCUACGAAUCGAAGCCCCAGUAAACGGCGGCCGUAACUAUAACGGUCCUAAGGUAGCGAAAUUCCUUGUCGGGUAAGUUCCGACCCGCACGAAAGGCGUAACGAUUUGGGCACUGUCUCAACGAGAGACUCGGUGAAAUCAUAGUACCUGUGAAGAUGCAGGUUACCCGCGACAGGACGGAAAGACCCCGUGGAGCUUUACUGUAGCCUGAUAUUGAAAUUCGGCACAGCUUGUACAGGAUAGGUAGGAGCCUUUGAAACGUGAGCGCUAGCUUACGUGGAGGCGCUGGUGGGAUACUACCCUAGCUGUGUUGGCUUUCUAACCCGCACCACUUAUCGUGGUGGGAGACAGUGUCAGGCGGGCAGUUUGACUGGGGCGGUCGCCUCCUAAAAGGUAACGGAGGCGCUCAAAGGUUCCCUCAGAAUGGUUGGAAAUCAUUCAUAGAGUGUAAAGGCAUAAGGGAGCUUGACUGCGAGACCUACAAGUCGAGCAGGGUCGAAAGACGGACUUAGUGAUCCGGUGGUUCCGCAUGGAAGGGCCAUCGCUCAACGGAUAAAAGCUACCCCGGGGAUAACAGGCUUAUCUCCCCCAAGAGUUCACAUCGACGGGGAGGUUUGGCACCUCGAUGUCGGCUCAUCGCAUCCUGGGGCUGUAGUCGGUCCCAAGGGUUGGGCUGUUCGCCCAUUAAAGCGGUACGCGAGCUGGGUUCAGAACGUCGUGAGACAGUUCGGUCCCUAUCCGUCGUGGGCGUAGGAAAUUUGAGAGGAGCUGUCCUUAGUACGAGAGGACCGGGAUGGACAUACCUCUGGUGUACCAGUUGUCGUGCCAACGGCAUAGCUGGGUAGCUAUGUGUGGACGGGAUAAGUGCUGAAAGCAUCUAAGCAUGAAGCCCCCCUCAAGAUGAGAUUUCCCAACUUCGGUUAUAAGAUCCCUCAAAGAUGAUGAGGUUAAUAGGUUCGAGGUGGAAGCAUGGUGACAUGUGGAGCUGACGAAUACUAAUCGAUCGAAGACUUAAUCAA
rnacentral:rRNA from 1 species